rnacentral:rRNA from 1 species
UAGGGAAUCUUCGGCAAUGGGGGGAACCCUGACCGAGCAACGCCGCGUGAGUGAAGAAGGUUUUCGGAUCGUAAAGCUCUGUUGUAAGAGAAGAACGGGUGUGAGAGUGGAAAGUUCACACUGUGACGGUAUCUUACCAGAAAGGGACGGCUAACUACGUGCCAGCAGCCGCGGUAAUACGUAGGUCCCGAGCGUUGUCCGGAUUUAUUGGGCGUAAAGCGAGCGCAGGCGGUUAGAUAAGUCUGAAGUUAAAGGCUGUGGCUUAACCAUAGUAUGCUUUGGAAACUGUUUAACUUGAGUGCAGAAGGGGAGAGUGGAAUUCCAUGUGUAGCGGUGAAAUGCGUAGAUAUAUGGAGGAACACCGGUGGCGAAAGCGGCUCUCUGGUCUGUAACUGACGCUGAG